rnacentral:rRNA from 1 species
UCCUUUAGAAUUUUAUUUAAGGUUUGACCUGCCCACUGAUUUAUUGAAUGGCCGCAGUAUUUUAACUGUGCAAAGGUAGCAUAAUCCUUUGUUUUUUAAUUGGAGGCUGGAAUGAAUGGUUGGACGAAAUAUUGACUGUUUCACUUUAAUUUUUUAUAGAAUUUUAUUUUUUAGUUAAAAAGCUAAAAUUUAUUUAAAAGACGAGAAGACCCUAUAAAUCUUUAUAUUUUUGUAAAAAAGGAAUUUUUAGGUUGUAUUUAUUUUUUUUUUUUAAUAAUAUUUUAUUGGGGUGAUGUUAAAAUUUAAUGAACUUUUAAUUAUAAUUUUCAUUUAUUUAUGAGUGUUUGAUCCAUUAUUGGUGAAUAAAAAAAUAAGUUACUUUAGGGAUAACAGCGUAAUUUUUUUGGAGAGUUCUUAUCGAUAAAAAGGAUUGCGACCUCGAUGUUGGAUUAAGAGAUGUAUUUGGGUGU